rnacentral:tRNA from 1 species
GGGCCCGUGGUCUAGUCAGGAUAUGGCGCUCGGCUUCGGACCGAGAGGACGGGGGUUCAAAUCCCUCCGGGCCC